rnacentral:lncRNA from 1 species
GUGGGUCAAGGUCUCAGAAAAUAGAAUUUCAGGUCCAAUGAGGUUUUUUAAGAUUUCUUGCAAUCUACUAGUUGGAUUGGAGUGAAACUUAUAUGAGAGGAUAUGAGACUUGUUUUUCUAUAUAUAUGAGAAUUUUGAGAUCAAUCGAAGGGUACUUCUGAGAGAUAUUGGCUCUGGAAAAUUAGCAUCAAGAUUGGAGAUGGAGGCCGAUCAAUACCCGAGCACAUUUUUGAGGUUAUCAUCAAUUUGGUAACUUCGAUCAUUAUCAAUUUUUUUGCACUUGUUUUUAACUUAUUUUUUUUAGAUGUAUGCAAAAUUUGAGUUAAGAUCAAUGGUUAAUUCAUUAGUUAUUGAGGUUUAAAUCUAUUAUAAGAAUUAUUAGGAUUUGGUUUAGGGUUUGGUUAGGAUUUGGUUUGGGAUUUAGG